UACAGAGGGUGCGAGCGUUGUCCGGAAUUACUGGGCGUAAAGGGCGCGUAGGCGGCUUGGUAAGUCGGGGGUGAAAGUCAGCGGCUCAACCGCUGGACUGCCUUCGAGACUGCCUGGCUUGAGCAUGGUAGAGGCUGGCGGAAUUCCCGGUGUAGCGGUGGAACGCGUAGAGAUCGGGAAGAACAUCGGUGGCGAAGGCGGCCAGCUGGGCCAUUGCUGACGCUGAUGCGCGACAGCGUGGGGAGCAAACAGG
rnacentral:rRNA from 1 species